UACGUAGGGUGCGAGCGUUAAUCGGAAUUACUGGGCGUAAAGCGUGCGCAGGCGGUUCGUUAAGUUUGUCGUGAAAGCCCCGGGCUCAACCUGGGAAUGGCGAUGAAAACUGGCGGGCUGGAGUGUGGCAGAGGGGGGUGGAAUUCCGCGUGUAGCAGUGAAAUGCGUAGAGAUGCGGAGGAACACCGAUGGCGAAGGCAACCCCCUGGGCUGACACUGACGCUCAGGCACGAAAGCGUGGGGAGCAAACAGG
rnacentral:rRNA from 1 species